CGUGAGUAACCUGCCCAUAAGAGGGGGAUAAUCCAUGGAAACGUGGACUAAUACCGCAUAUUGUAGUCAAGUCGCAUGACUAGAUUAUGAAAGAUUUAUCGCUUAUGGAUGGACUCGCGUCAGAUUAGAUAGUUGGUGAGGUAACGGCUCACCAAGUCAACGAUCUGUAGCCGAACUGAGAGGUUGAUCGGCCGCAUUGGGACUGAGACACGGCCCAG
rnacentral:rRNA from 1 species